rnacentral:rRNA from 1 species
UACGAAGGGGGCUAGCGUUGUUCGGAUUUACUGGGCGUAAAGCGCACGUAGGCGGAUCGUUAAGUCAGGGGUGAAAUCCUGGAGCUCAACUCCAGAACUGCCUUCGAUACUGGCGAUCUUGAGUCCGGAAGAGGUGAGUGGAACUCCUAGUGUAGAGGUGGAAUUCGUAGAUAUUAGGAAGAACACCAGUGGCGAAGGCGGCUCACUGGUCCGGUACUGACGCUGAGGUGCGAAAGCGUGGGGAGCAAACAGG